rnacentral:misc_RNA from 1 species
AUCAUUACAGCGAAGCGGCGCGAGCCGCCUUUCGAACCACCGCGUACCGAACCCCCCACGUUGCCUCGGCGGGCGCCGGGCGCCCCGCGCCCGCCCCGCCGAACGGCCCCCCAGCAAGACCCCUUCCGUCGAGAUGGCGUCGUCUGAACCCUCCGGGGAAAACGUUUCUGAAACGAAAAACACAACUUUCAACAAUGGAUCUCUUGGCUCCGGCAUCGAUGAAGAACGCAGCGAAACGCGAUAGCUAGUGUGAAUUGCAGAUUUCAGUGAAUCAUCGAGUCUUUGAACGCACAUUGCGCCUCUUGGUAUUCCUCGAGGCAUGCCUGUUCGAGCGUCGUUACGCCCCUCAAGCGCGAGCUUGGUGUUGGGGACCGCCCCUGAGACACGGCGGCGGCCCCGGAAUGCAUCGGCGGUGCUGGUCCCAGCCCGGAGCGCAGCAGACAUGCGGCUCCGCGGGCGGGGCCGGCGCCCGCCGGACAAACGACGAGACCCCUCCACAAGUCGACCUCGAAUCAGGUAGGGAUACCCGCUGAACUUAAGCAUAUCAAUAAGCGGAGGAAAAGAAACCAACAGGGAUUGCCUCAGUAACGGCGAGUGAAGCGGCAACAGCUCAAAUUUGAAAUCUGGCGCCCCCGGCGUCCGAGUUGUAAUUUGCAGAGGAUGCUUCGGCGUAGGCGCCGCCCAAGGUUCCUUGGAACGGGACGUCGCAGAGGGUGAGAGCCCCGUGUUCGGGCGGACCGCCUUCGCCGUGUGAAGCUCCUUCGACGAGUCGAGUUGUUUGGGAAUGCAGCUCAAAACGGGAGGUAAAUUUCUUCCAAGGCUAAAUACCGGCCGGAGACCGAUAGUGCACAAGUAGAGUGAUCGAAAGAUGAAAAGCACUUUGGAAAGAGAGUCAAACAGCGCGUGAAAUUGUUGAAGGGGAAGCGCUUGCGGUCAGAACUUGGCCGCCGUUGCUCGGGGAGGUCUCGCGCCUCCCUCGCUCUUCGGCGGCCGGGCCAGCAUCGGUUCGGGCGGCUCGAGAAAGGCCGCGGGAACGUGGCUCCCUACGGGGAGUGUUAUAGCCCGCGGCGCAAUGGGGCCCGCCCGGAUCGAG